rnacentral:snRNA from 1 species
GACCUCUGUCACUUGUUAAAAUUGGAACGAGACAGAGAAUAUUAGCAUUGUCCCUGCAUAAGGUUGACACUAAAUCCCUGAGAAGGAAGCUCUACGGAG